GGAUGUGAGGGCGAUCUGGCUGCGAUAUCUGUCAACCUCAUUUAUUGCCGGGGUUGAUUCAGCUGAUCUGGCUGGCUAGGCGGGUGUCCCCUUCCUCCCUCACCACUCCAUGUGCGUCCCUCCCGAGUGUGGAAGCUGCGCACUCCGUCGAAGAGGACGGCCUUCCCCGAAUAGAGAUGGACCGGUCUUCAGUCGAGUAGCUGUGCUUCCCUGCUAGAACCUCCAAACAAGCUUUCAGUGAAGGACUUACCAUGGAUUUCUUUUAAAUUAUGUAUAUUCUCGUAACAUAUAAAGUUUGCAA
rnacentral:snRNA from 1 species